rnacentral:rRNA from 1 species
GACGAACCACACAAACGUUAUUCGGAAUUACUGGGCUUAAAGGGUGCGUAGGCGGCGCGGAAAGUUGGGUGUGAAAUCCCUCGGCUCAACCGAGGAACUGCGCUCAAUACUACCGUGCUCGAGGGAGACAGAGGUGAGCGGAACUUAGGGUGGAGCGGUGAAAUGCGUUGAUAUCCUAAGGAACACCCGUGGCGAAAGCGGCUCACUGGGUCUCUUCUGACGCUGAGGAGCGAAAGCGUGGGGAGCGAACAGG